ensembl:lncRNA SCMH1-DT SCMH1 divergent transcript
ACCGGUCGGGCCCCCAAGACCGGCUGACGUGGGCCUCGCCUCGGGCGACUCCCGCCGGGCUAGUGGCUGGCCGUGUGGUGACCUUGGGCGAGUUACUUCGCACAGCCACCCAGGGGCCUCUUCUCCAACACGAUAGCACUGCACCCGGAGGGCCUUCAGACCUGAGCUGAAAUCUACACCACCGGCUCUCUGACUAUCAGGCUUUGGACUAUACUUUGGGCUUUCCUGGGUCUCUUACCUGGCAGACAGCAGAUUUUGGAACUUUUCAGCCUCCAUAAUCAUGCAUGGAAUUCAAAUCGCGGAGUGACAGGCUGUGUGUGGGGCUGAUUGUCUGGGUCAGAGACAUCACAACUGGCUGGUGAGGAGAGCUUUCUGACAACAGGAGCUGUCCAACAAGGAGUGGGCUGCUGUCACCGAGGAGCUGAAGCGGCCGACGGCUGACCUUCCACUGGGCACUAGGCAGGGCCUGGAUGGAGGGAGUCUUAAAGUAGGAGGGAGAAGCCAAGGAAAUAGCUCUCUAGAAGCAUUUUGUACACUGAAAAGUGUCAUUGAAACGCUGUCACAGUUCUAAGAGGAGACAUUGCUCCUCUGAAAACCAGCCUCACUCCCUAAGCUGAUGUAUUUCCAGAAGCAGGGCCUGAGCUGCCACAUGCAGGCCCUGAGGACUUGAGGCACAUCGUUCUUUUUUUGGGUCUCAUCUGUGAAUCAGCCACUCAAACCUAGUGGCUCUCAGCCUGCAAGUUCAUUCAUGCAAUGCAGGGCUUCUCCACUGCUCCCCCAAACCUCCUCAGGCCACCCCUGCGUGUGCACCCACCGAUAUGGCCUGUUCUGAACAGGUGACCCUCAGCUGCCAGCAUCACUGCCCUUCAAAACCUGACUUAUCUCUCGUGUUUUACAGUUACCAUAGCAGAAAGAUUUAUCUUCAUCUUUUACCAUUUAAAAAUACUAAUGGAAUUACUGUUUUUGUCUGUUUCUGUUUUGAAGCCAUACGAUUUUUCUCUCACUGCCACCACAUUUGUGAUGGCCUUAAAAAUUAUUCUUAAAGAUAAAUAUAAUUCUAGAAAAA